GAUUAAGCCAUGCAUGUGUAAGUAUAAAUAAUUAUAUAGUGAAACUGCGAAUGGCUCAUUAUAUCAGUUAUAGUUUAUUUGAUAAUUAAUUUGAAAUUUCUUUUUUGAAAUUUUAAUACUAAUUGGAUAACCGUAGUAAUUCUAGAGCUAAUACAUGAAUUAAAAUCCUAACCUUUAUGGAAAGGAUGUAUUUAUUAGAUGAUAAAACCAAUAUAAUGAAUAAGGUGAAUCAUAAUAAUUAAUCGAAUCGUAUGGUUGUAAAAUACUAACGAUAAAUCAUUCAAGUUUCUGCCCUAUCAGCUUUCGAUGGUAGUGUAUUGGACUACCAUG
rnacentral:rRNA from 1 species